GACGAACGCUGGCGGCGUGCUUAACACAUGCAAGUCGAACGGUAAGGCCCUUCGGGGUACACGAGUGGCGAACGGGUGAGUAACACGUGGGUGAUCUGCCCUGCACUUCGGGAUAAGCCUGGGAAACUGGGUCUAAUACCGGAUAGGACUCCUGGCUUCAUGGUUGGGGGUGGAAAGCUUUUGCGGUGUGGGAUGGGCCCGCGGCCUAUCAGCUUGUUGGUGGGGUAAUGGCCUACCAAGGCGACGACGGGUAGCCGGCCGGAGAGGGCGACCGGCCACACUGGGACUGAGACGCGGCCCAGACUCCUACGGGAGGCAGCAGGGGGGAAUAUUGGGCAAUGGAGGAAACUCUGACCCAGCGACGCCGCGUGAGGGAUGAAGGCCUUCGGGUUGUAAACCUCUUUCAGCAGGGAAUAAGCGAAAGUGAAGGUACCUGCAGAAGAAGCACCGGCUAACUAUGUGCCAGCCGCCGCGGUAA
rnacentral:rRNA from 1 species